rnacentral:rRNA from 1 species
CCUACGGGUGGCAGCAGUGAGGAAUAUUGGUCAAUGGGCGCGAGCCUGAACCAGCCAAGUAGCGUGAAGGAUGACUGCCCUACGGGUUGUAAACUUCUUUUAUAAAGGAAUAAAGUGAGGCACGUGUGCCUUUUUGUAUGUACUUUAUGAAUAAGGAUCGGCUAACUCCGUGCCAGCAGCCGCGGUAAUACGGAGGAUCCGAGCGUUAUCCGGAUUUAUUGGGUUUAAAGGGAGCGUAGAUGGGUUGUUAAGUCAGUUGUGAAAGUUUGCGGCCCAACCGUAAAAUUGCAAUUGAUACUGGAAGCCUUGAGUACAGUACAGGUAGGCGGAAUUCGUGGUGUAGCGGUGAAAUGCAUAGAUAUCACGAAGAACUCCGAUUGCGAAGGCAGCUUACUAAACUGCCACUGACAUUGAUGCUCGAAAGUGUGGGUAUCAAACAGGAUUAGAUACCCCUGUAGUC